CACUGGAAGAGAGACUGAUCCUUGCUGUUUCUUCUGAGUGGUAUUCACUGACCCCCCUGGCUACCGAAGAUGCCAGAAACCUCUUCAAGCUUGGUGCUUCUGGGAGGAACAGUGAUUGAGGUACACUCACAGCGUUACCAUCUGGAAGGGCUCUUCAGACAGGCAAACAGAAUCUCCCAGAAGACAAACCUCUCCUGCUGCUGAAGACCUUGAACCACUUCCAAAUGUCUUUGUUGGGGAUGAUAUUCCUCUGCAAUGAAGGCAACAGGCAUUCAGCAUAACAACUUGUAAUAUAAUGAAGACACUGAGCUCGGUCAGGCUCGCAUCAGGAGGCUGGUCCUCCUGGUACAGAGGCCAUUCCCAGAGUGUGCACUAACAACCGAGCACAGUAGAUCACAGUAGAUGAUGGUUUUGAGACCUCCUUUUAUUCACCAGCUGGUAAAGUGCCAAGGCAGCAUCAAGUGCUCUGAAGUUGUUAGUCUUUCCACUGUUCACCUCCUCACCUGCCACCAUCCAAUCUGCAGCUCUCGACAUACACAAUCUGCUCUCCAAAACAAAAGCUCAAACAACCAAACCUGUGUCCAAAAAAGGAAACAGAGAAUUUGAGACACAAACACACUUGUGUCAUCAGUAGUUUAAUAUUACAGAUGCCACAGCAAGUCUGUGGGGACCUUUUGAUAUUUUCAAUUCAAUUCUAUUACACCUCAAAUGUGUUCUCAGGGGACAAUGAAAUUAAAGUUCAAUUGCAAUUGGCAGUUACGUCAUCUUGUCAAGAGAUCAGGAAUCAGCAUAGUUCAAGUUGCACUAUAAAUUAUUGUAAAUCCACAAACUGUUACAUUUUUAGUGUUUGUGAUAAGUUUAUCAGCUAUUUGUGUCUGUCAUUUGGCUUUCAUGACUAUGAGCUGUUGCUUAAAAUAACUGUCUCAGUGACGGGGGAAGAAUUUUAUCACCUUGCAAAAUGUGCACUGUAAAUCAUCCGACACCUCUGGGCUAUUUUUCACCAGCUUAAAUUGGGACAUAGCCUAUAUAUUCCAGAGAGAAAGUUUUGAUGGUGCAAACAAACACCUUUCCUUUACAAAAGUUAAACCAGGUAAAGGGGAAAAACGUUCAAGCAGGACAGGAUCUCAGAGCAAUAUACAGCAGUACUACUCCUUGAAAAGUUUGCUAUAGUGACUGGCAGCAAGUCGCAAGGGAACCUCUUCUGCUGGAGUAAUACUGUACUACGCCCUGGGCUGUCUUGGACAUUUGCACCAAUAUCAUGUUGACUAGAAAUUUGUGUGUGCACUGCAAAUUCUCGGCCUCUUUUGAAGCAAAUCUUUGAGUACUCUAGUCACUAUAUUUAUUAACAAUGUUAUGCUAAUGCUAGCUUGACUGUCAAACAUUAAAGAUCCUACAGUAUGUGUAA